ACAGAGGUCUCAAGCGUUGUUCGGAUUCAUUGGGCGUAAAGGGUGCGUAGGUGGCAAGGUAAGUCGGGUGUGAAAUCCCGGGGCUCAACCCUGGAACUGCACUCGAUACUGCCAUGCUCGAGUACUGGAGAGGAGACUGGAAUUUACGGUGUAGCAGUGAAAUGCGUAGAUAUCGUAAGGAAGACCAGUGGCGAAGGCGAGUCUCUGGACAGUUACUGACACUGAGGCACGAAGGCCAGGGGAGCAAACGGGAUUAGAUACCCCGGUAGUCCUGGCAGUAAACGGUGCGCGUUUGGUGUGGGAGGAUUCGACCCCUCCUGUGCCGGAGCUAACGCGUUAAACGCGCCGCCUGGGGAGUACGGUCGCAAGAUUA
rnacentral:rRNA from 1 species